rnacentral:rRNA from 1 species
CAAGUCGAGCGGAGACAAUUGGCUUCGGCCGAUUGUUUUAGCGGCGGACGGGUGAGUAACGCGUGAGCAAUCUGUCCCAGACAGGGGGAUAACACUUGGAAACAGGUGCUAAUACCGCAUAAGACCACGAGAUCACAUGGUUUCGGGGUAAAAGGAGCAAUCCGGUUUGGGGUGAGCUCGCGUCCGAUUAGCUAGUUGGUGAGGUAACGGCCCACCAAGGCGACGAUCGGUAGCCGACCUGAGAGGGUGAUCGGCCACAUUGGAACUGAGAAACGGUCCAAACUCC